rnacentral:rRNA from 1 species
UAUUUUGAGAGUUUGAUCCUGGCUCAGGAUGAACGCUGGCGGCGUGUCUAAGGCAUGCAAGUCGAGCGGUCGUGUCUUACUUUCGUUCGACACUCCCUAAAUUCAAAAGUCAAAAAUCAAAAUUCAAAAUUAUGGAGUCCCGGUCGCCUUCGGCGACCGAGGACGAAAUAAUUACUUAAAUUUUGAGAUUUAAGAUUUGAGAUUUUAUAUCUGGAGUGGCGAGCGGUAGCGAGACACGACAGCGGCAAACGGGUGAGUAACACAUUGGUAACCUACCUCUAACACGGGCAUAACCCGGCGAAAGCUGGGCUAAUUCCCGAUACAUUCGGUUUACGCGAGUAGGCCGAGUAAAGGCGCAAGUCGGUUAGAGAGGGGCCUAUGGCCUAUCAGCUUGUUGGUGAGGUAAUGGCUCACCAAGGCAACGACGGGUAGCGGGCGUGAGAGCGCG